UACGUAGGGUGCAAGCGUUGUCCGGAAUCAUUGGGCGUAAAGGGCGCGUAGGUGGCCCGGUCAGUUCGUGGUGAAAUCCCAGGGCUCAACCCUGGAACUGCCUUCUAGACUGCAGGCCUCGAGGUCAGGAGAGGCGAGUGGAAUACCGAGUGUAGAGGUGAAAUUCGUAGAUAUUCGGUGGAACACCAGUGGCGAAGGCGACUCGCUGGACUGAUACUGACGCUGAGGUGCGAAAGCGUGGGGAGCAAACAGG
rnacentral:rRNA from 1 species